AAAAGAAACACUCUUAAGUACAUUUUCUAAUACCGUAUCAAAUUGAUCUUUUUCAUUCUGUGUAAGUCCUUUCUUAUUGUUCACUUUUAUGCUUUCCCUUGACUAGCUUGUUUCUUCCUUAUGGUAUUUUUCAUUCUGUGGAAGUCUAACAUGGUAUUUUUUGACCUUUAUGCAUCUAUUGCCUUUUUGCUUCAUUUUUUAUUUUCUUCCACUUGUUUCCCAUUAUAUCCUGUUUCAAGAACUUCCUUAGCUGUUCAGUUGGAGUCAGGUUCAAGAACUUCCUUAGUUGUUCAGUAGGAGUCAGCAAUCAUUUCACUCCUGGUCCUUGACUUGAUCUUUCCUUGGCCGAACAAUCCACGCUCAUGUUCCCUUCUCUCCAGGUAUGAGUAAACUUCUAUUUUUCUUGAGGGAAUGCAAUAUAUAAGUCUUUGGGUUUGAGUGGAUGCAAACUAUUAUAAUAUUACUAACAAUAUUUUAAAAGGUAUUCGCGCGGCAAGUCCUGGGGCAUUGCGUUCCAAUACUGCCCCUGGUUGAUCGUAUAAGGCGAAAGUGUUGUGGGGUGUACGUUUGGGCACGCCUCUGAUGUGAGGCAUUAAAAGCAUACACCCUACAAAUUGUUUCAAAAAAAAAAGAUUUAACUUUAUCAAUUAAAUUUUUAACUUUUUAAUAUUCAAUUUUAUUACUAAUUUACUAUCUUUUAUAUUGAGACAUUGAGUGAAUUUGAUAUUAAUUUAUUUGAAAUAUAAUAUAUGGUUAGGCAAGCAAGGUAAAGGAAAAGAGAUUGUUACCUAUAGAUUGGAUCCUAUGAUGGGAUGGAAAUUCCAGAAUUACCAUCAACUAUUGGAAGAAAAUUACCUAGUAUAUAUACACUAUAUGAAGAUGAUGACAUGAAUCAUAUUGACUUUGAUGAAUAGUAUUAUUUUAUUUGUCAGUUUAUUUCUAAUUAUUGUUGCUAUUCCUUGUUAUGUAUUAUAAGCAAUAUGGUUGCUAAUUUGGUACUCGUGAUACUAGUUAAGUGUGUUUAUUGAAACAAUUAACCUUUGAAGUUUGUGUCUACUUCAAUUUAUGUGUUUGUAAUUUAAGUGCUCCAUAAUGUCGUGACUUUUGAAUUUUGACUAGUUCGUUUCUAAAAUUCAACUUUUUGUAAUUUUAAUUAUUCUGCUUUAUGUGUUUGUAAUUUAAGUGCUUGAAUAUUAACUUUGAUAAACAUGCAGUUAAUUAUUCUGUUUAUUUAUAUCUUCAAAUGACUUUUUUAUAAUACAUAUCAUAUUUAUAUAUAUUUAAAAAAAAAUUCGCGGGGCUUAUGCCUCACACCUCAGGUCUUUCGCCCCGUUGGGGCGGAUACUAAAUGAUCCCCCCAACACCUUCACCUUUUAAAACAUUGAGUACUAAAUUAGGACACCACAAUAUUAUUUAUAGCGUAAAAAAGAAGUUUUUAAAAUUUUGAGGGGAAGGAAUUGCCCACCCUCAUGAGUAUGCGGCUCUUACCCUGAUCAAAAUUAAUCAGUUAAUACUCGAAAGUAGGCAGAGAUGGAGAGGUAGUAGUAAGUAGGUAUUCCUUUAAGAGGUAAAAUUUAUAAUACAUACGGAAAAAAAAAAGAUAUUUGAUCAUUAGGGUAUUCCAUCUGAUAAGGACCUGGUAGAUAUAAGAGAAGAAAGAACACGAUGGAAUCCAAUUGUGGCGCUGAAAUUGUUAACAUUGCAGUUUAUUAAAAUUGAAGAGCGAAAAACUGGAAGGAUCCAAUGUGAGACAAGCUAAUGGCCUGUUGGGUAAUCGGAAUUUUGUGGAUAAGCCUUGUUUUAGGUGGAGAAAAAAUGGCAGCACCAAUAUUUACUUGUUCAGCAAGAAGUUGAACGUAAAGGCUGUGAAGGUUGUGAAACAGUUGAGGAUUAAUUGUGUAAAGGAUGAAAUGUUACCGAUAGUAAUUUUGUAUUUUUCUAUUCUACUUUGUCUAAACUGGAAAUCAAGUUGGCUAGAAAGCAAGUUGUCAAAGAAAGUUGAGGUAAAGAAAAUACCAACUAUAGAAUGAUGAGGUACCUUCUUUGAUACUGGUUUAUGUAAUAAUUAUACAUAUCAAGGCAGUUCUCCAAAUGCCUUCUUGCAGUUCCCUUUUGUAAUAAUUUGCACAAAAACGCCCCAUACAAAAUAAAAAAGUGAGUAACAAGGAGAUAUUUUUGUUCAUUCCUAAGUCAAGUUGGAAGCUUGCUUCCAAAUUUGACGAAUGGCCUUGAAGACAGUCAAAUUUGUUUCCGAAAAAGAUUCCAAUAUAAAUGGGGACAACUGACAAGAAGCUCCAAAAUUUGGGCUGUGAGGUGGCUAUUCUUGUUAUUCAGAACCAGCAUCCAGCUGUACCAGGUUUGUUGGAUCAUUUGAGGUGGGCAUGGCUUAUUGAAAACGGAAAUGGUGGCCAUGUAAUGAUUUAUGAGGACAGAUUAACAGAGCUUCAAUCUCCUAGACCUGAUUGACGGAACAUGUAAUGAUUGGAAGUGAUUUGCAUCGAAAAUAUAUCUCUGGGUCCAUGAGAGUUAUCCACAAAAAGAUUGUAGUAGCUUAUGUUCACUUUGCUAUGUGCGAACCUCGCUUCCACAUCUGUACUACUGCUGCCAUUUGAAGUAGAGAUUCCCUAUCCAGCAUGAUUAGCCAUCUCGGCCGAGUUCGAUACGAUUCGACCAAGUCAUAACUGGGAACAGAGGCAAGUGAUACGAUACUGAUUCCUGAAUUAUGAAUAAUUUUAUAUCUGCAGCGACUCGCUCUAACUCGACCAAUAUUAACCGAUUCGAAUUCGUGAUACAUGAAAUCAGCCAAAAUAUUCUAGUUAACUCGGAGUCGACUCGAAUAUUUGUUCAGAUGGUGUAUUUUAUGGUAUUUUUUAUUUUUAGUAAUUUUUUCAGAAUUUUAAAAAAUUUUAUGUGCUGUAAUGUGUGUAUCAUCCGAUAUCUAAUCGAUAUACGAUGACGGAUAUGGAACAACCGUGACCGCGACCUGCAAUGGCCAAGCAUGCUAUCCAAGCUGCUGAGCGAUUGAGGGACUAUACUUCUCUUUGAAAACAAUGAACCAACAGAACCACAGGAACCGCUCACAGAAGACAUUCGAUUGGAGAAGGCAUCCUUGCUGGAUACAAAAAAAAAGUUCAGUCCUCAAGUCCGAUGAGGAGGAUGAUGGAGCCAAAGUACCCUUGAAGAUCCAACUCGGAAAGGAGCAAGGCAUAGCAGCAAGUGAAGAUGCAGAUCGACUGUAGAGGCAGACCCUUGAGGCUAAGGACAAGAUUUGCCAUCUGUGCACUACAUUCAGGUUGGCCAGGUCUCUGGGGAAAUGCAUGUUCCUUCUGGCUGCUUCCUGAAGGACCAGCAGCUGGAGCUGAAGGAGACAUUUGAGUUAUUCCAUAAACAGGACCAGCUUCCACAGCAGGUUGGGUACUUGCAUUGGAACAGGAACCAUAUAUACCUGGGGGAAGCAGCACGGGACCAUGCAUUUACCUGUGCGCAAAACUCAAGGUUUGAAGUAAUUUUCAUGAAACUCCUGUUCAAUUUACUUGCAUUGUUAAGUAAACUUUGGAUUCGAUAUUCACUUGAAUUUUGAGAUUGUCAGUAGCUCAAUGCCGUAGAAGUCACAGAUGAGAUUCAACAAAAAAUGUACAAAAUCUGAUGAACCAAGUUUUAAACAAGUAAUGCCAUGUUUGCUCUUGUUUGACUUGGGAAAAUUAUUAGGUGUUUAAAUAGUUUCUUAUUUAAAAUAAUGUUCUUUAUAGUACAGAAUUUAGUGAACAUUUCUACGUCAUGCAACAAACGUGCUUUCAUCCAAAAAAAA